AGAGUUUGAUCCUGGCUCAGGAUGAACGCUGGCGGCGUGCCUAAUACAUGCAAGUCGAGCGAACGGACGAGAAGCUUGCUUCUCUGAUGUUAGCGGCGGACGGGUGAGUAACACGUGGAUAACCUACCUAUAAGACUGGGAUAACUUCGGGAAACCGGAGCUAAUACCGGAUAAUAUUUUGAACCGCAUGGUUCAAAAGUGAAAGACGGUCUUGCUGUCACUUAUAGAUGGAUCCGCGCUGCAUUAGCUAGUUGGUAAGGUAACGGCUUACCAAGGCAACGAUGCAUAGCCGACCUGAGAGGGUGAUCGGCCACACUGGAACUGAGACACGGUCCAGACUCCUACGGGAGGCAGCAGUAGGGAAUCUUCCGCAAUGGGCGAAAGCCUGACGGAGCAACGCCGCGUGAGUGAUGAAGGUCUUCGGAUCGUAAAACUCUGUUAUUAGGGAAGAACAUAUGUGUAAGUAACUGUGCACAUCUUGACGGUACCUAAUCAGAAAGCCACGGCUAACUACGUGCCAGCAGCCGCGGUAAUACGUAGGUGGCAAGCGUUAUCCGGAAUUAUUGGGCGUAAAGCGCGCGUAGGCGGUUUUUUAAGUCUGAUGUGAAAGCCCACGGCUCAACCGUGGAGGGUCAUUGGAAACUGGAAAACUUGAGUGCAGAAGAGGAAAGUGGAAUUCCAUGUGUAGCGGUGAAAUGCGCAGAGAUAUGGAGGAACACCAGUGGCGAAGGCGACUUUCUGGUCUGUAACUGACGCUGAUGUGCGAAAGCGUGGGGAUCAAACAGGAUUAGAUACCCUGGUAGUCCACGCCGUAAACGAUGAGUGCUAAGUGUUAGGGGGUUUCCGCCCCUUAGUGCUGCAGCNUCAACAAAUUAAAGAACAACAAAUGAUUGGUAUUAUGAUUACACACGAUCGAAGAUUAUUUGAAUAUGCAGAUCGAGUGAUUGAAUUAGAAGAUGGCAAAAUAACUGAUUAGUGGCUUGUAAAGACGCUAAAUGUUAAUGAUUUAAGACAUAGUAGUAUAAAAGUUAGAUAACAGAAUACGAUUUGGGUUUACAAAAAACAGGCUGGGACAUUAAGUUCUUAGGCAAUGUAAAAAAGCUGAUUUCUAUUAAUUAUUUGAUAGAAAUCAGCUUUUUUGAUAUGUAUUUUAUAAUGUACAGCUCGUUGCAUUCAUAUAGCUUGAAGUCACGUUUAAAACCAUAUCUAUCAUUAUGGUAUGCAUAUCUUUUAAAACCUAUUCUUUUGUUAUUAGGACAUAUAAAUUCAUCAUUAAGUUCGUCAUAUUUCCAAUUUUGAGUGUUAAAAAUGUCACUUUUAAACUUUCUAGUUUUAUCUUUAAUAAACAUGACAUACGUAAUAAGUGGCGUUUUAUUAAAAUCAUCUAUAAUAGCCAUAUAGUUUUGCUCACUAUCAUAACAUGCAUCAGCUACAAUAUACUCCGGUAAAUAACCGAAGGUAUUUUGAAUCAUUGUUAAAAAUGGAAUUAAAGUUCUAGUAUCUGUUGGGUUUUGAAAUAGGUCAUAGGAUAAAACAAAUUGAGAAUUUGUCGCUAUUUGUAAAUUGUAUCCUGGCUUAAGUUGGCCAAAGUGUCUUAUUUUUUUAAAGUAUUUAAAAGUAAAAUUACAUGUUAAUACGUAGUAUUAAUGGCGAGACUCCUGAGGGAGCAGUGCCAGUCGAAGACAGGGGCCCCAACACAGAAGCUGACAUAUAGUCAGCUUACAACAAUGUGCCGGUUGGGGUGGCUGAGACGGCACCCUAGGAAGGGACCCGUCAUCAAAAAUUCUAUUUAUAGAAUUUUACAGUAAUGUGCCAGAUGGGCAUAGCGAAGCCAUUCAAUACGAAGUAUUGUAUAAAUAGAGAACAGCAGUAAGAUAUUUUCUAAUUGAAAAUUAUCUUACUGCUGUUUUUUUUAGGGAUUAAUGUCCCAGACUCUUUAGUUUAUUUAUUUUCAAUAUAACAAUUGUCUAAUCAAGGAUUAACGAAUAUUUAAAGAUAGUUUGACGCAAUAUUAGAAACAACCUAUAAUAAUAGUUUGUUUGUGGAUUAACUAUUAUAAAUAAAAGCGGCGUAAAGACAUAUAAACCAACUACUUGAACAAUAUAACGUUAAUAACAAUCUAUACUGAUACAUUACGCCUAGAUAAUCUUUGAUGAGCACAUGUAAGAAAAAGUGAUAUGGUGUAUGACUUCCGACACCAUCGAUAGAUAAACCUAAUUUUUGGGCUAGUCGUAAGGCGCGCAAUACAUGAAACUGACUUGUUACACAAACAAUUUUAACUGCUUCAUGAUACAAAUUGUUGAUGAUUUGUUUAGAAUAUAAAAAGUUUGUGUAUGUAUUUAUAGAGUGAGAUUCCAUUAGUAUAUCUGUUUUAUCAACACCAUGUGCAAUCAAAUAACGUUGCAUAGCUAAAGCUUCAGAAAUUGGUUCGUCUGGUCCUUGUCCGCCAGAUACAAUGAUCUUUGUUGCUGAUGCUUGUUGUUGAUAGAUAUCAAGUGCACGAUCUAAACGCGCUGCAAGCAUUGGUGUGACAAAUUCGGUAAAAAUACCAGCACCUAACACAAUUAUGAUAUCAACUUCUUUGUUGUAUGAUCUAUGUCUAUAUGAUACUGUCCAAACGAGAUAACAAAUAAAGGUUAGUAACAGGGAAAGACAUAAUAUAGCUAACCACAUAGACAAACCUUUCACAAUAGGUGACUGAAUCGUACUUAUAAAUAGAAGUGCUGAUGUGUAGAGUACAAAUUUAUAUGAAAAAGAUAAUAAUUUUUUAAUAAAUAAGCGACUAGAAGUAUGAGAAAAUAAAUAUCUAUGUUUGAAUAGCAUGAUAAUACUGAUUAUUAUAAAUGUUACAAACAUAGACCAAGGGAAAGUAUAGGUCAUGAUGCUAUAGAUGAGUGACAAAAAUAUCGAUAUGACAACUAAGAUGUAGCAUGUUAAAUUUAACGUCAGAGUAUAGUUGAAAAUUAACGGACAAAUAACGAUAAGUAUAAAUAUUAAUAAUAAAUUCAAUAACAUACUGACACCUCGCUUAUAAUAAAUAUUAAAUAUAAAUAUAGAUGAUUUAAUUUAUUAAAGCAAGGAGAAAGCAGCAACAUGUAAAUCUUAAUUUGUUAUAUUAUAUAUGGGUCAAUAUUUUUGUGUUUUUUAGAUGUGCGAUACAAUGAUUGCUGAGGAUACUUUAUAAAAAUAGUAAUUAGGGAGAAAUAAUUAUGGUAAAACAUUUACAAGACCAUAUUCAAUUUUUAGAGCAGUUUAUAAAUAACGUUAACGCAUUAACUGCAAAAAUGUUGAAAGAU
rnacentral:rRNA from 1 species